AACGAACGCUGGCGGCAUGCCUAACACAUGCAAGUCGAACGAGACCAUCGGGUCUUGUGGCGCACGGGUGCGUCACGCGUGGGAACCUGCCCUUAGGUUCGGCAUAACUCUCCGACAGGGGUGCUAAUACCGGAUCAUGUCUUCGGACCAAAGAUUUAUCGCAUUUGGAUGGGCCCGCGUUGGAUUAGCUAGUUGGUAGGGUAAAAGCCUACCACGGCGACGAUCCAUAGCUGGUCUGAGAGGAUGAUCAGCCACACUGAGACUGAGACACGGCCGAGACUCCUACGCGAGGGAGCAGUGGGGAAUAUUGGAACAUGGGCGAAAGCCUGAUCGAGCAAUGCCGCGUGAGUGAUGAAGGCCGUAGGGUUGUAAAGCUCUUUUACCCGGGAUGAUAAUGACAGUACCGGGAGAAUAAGCUCCGGCUAACUCCGUG
rnacentral:rRNA from 1 species